rnacentral:rRNA from 1 species
AUGAACGCUGGCGGCGUGCCUAAUACAUGCAAGUCGAGCGAACAGACGAGGAGCUUGCUCCUCUGACGUUAGCGGCGGACGGGUGAGUAACACGUGGAUAACCUACCUAUAAGACUGGGAUAACUUCGGGAAACCGGAGCUAAUACCGGAUAAUAUAUUGAACCGCAUGGUUCAAUAGUGAAAGACGGUUUUGCUGUCACUUAUAGAUGGAUCAGCGCCGCAUUAGCUAGUUGGUAAGGUAACGGCUUACCAAGGCAACGAUGCGUAGCCGACCUGAGAGGGUGAUCGGCCACACUGGAACUGAGACACGGUCCAGACUCCUACGGGAGGCAGCAGUAGGGAAUCUUCCGCAAAGGGCGAAAGCCUGACGGAGCAACGCCGCGUGAGUGAUGAAGGUCUUCGGAUCGUAAAACUCUGUUAUUAGGGAAGAACAAAUGUGUAAGUAACUAUGCACGUCUUGACGGUACCUAAUCAGAAAGCCACGGCUAACUACGUG